ensembl:lncRNA
GCCCCAUCCCUGCAGGCAUUCAAGGCCAGGCUGGAUGUGGCUCUGGGCAGCCUGGGCUGCUGGUUGGCGACCCUGCACAUAGCAGGGGGUUGGAACUGGGUGAGCACUGUGCUCCUUUGCAACCCAGGCCAUUCCAGGAUUCUAUGAUUCUUCUCUUGAUGACGUCUGUGCCUCAGACAAAUGGAUCCCACAGGUAGGAGUGGGAGCAGGAAGAGUCCUUCUUUGGGGCUUUGAUUCCUUUUGAACUGGAACUGAGAAGAAAAGACCAAAGCACAUGAACAUCUCAAUGUUUUGCCCGAAGUUGAAGCUACAGAGAUGAACGAGUUUUGCCAAUUCAACCAGUUGUGCUGGAUGUGGCUCUGGGCUGCCUGGUCUGCUGGUUGGAGACUCUGAACACAGCAGGGGGUUGGAAUGGGAUGAGCAUUGUGGUCUUUUUCAACCCAGGCCAUUCUGUGGUUCUGUGAUUCUCUUGAAGGCCGCUGGAAGCCCCAAUUAGCUUCAUUCCCUCAUUGGCUUCACCUUGGGGCUCAGGACAUCUCAAGGGGCUUCCAGGUAGGAUGUGGUGUGGGCAUGGCAUGCAUCCGUGGGGGCUGCAUCCGAAGAAGGGCAACAAAGCUAUGAAGGUCUGGAACAUAAGUCUUAUGGGCAACAGCUGAGGGACCCAAACUGCUGAACUGCCACUUUCCAGUCUGAUCAGCCACCAAAUUCCCAGUCUGACCAAAGUCAGGGGUGAGUGAGAUGACCUCAAAGAAACACAGUGUGAGGCAAACCUCCUUUUCUUGCUAGCUUCGGUCUCGAUCCACUGAACUGAUUUGAGCAGAAACCUUCCAGAAUAUUUGUUCCAUGGCAUCUCGUUGGCCCGGAACACAUCACAGUGCAAGAUUGCAGCUUGGGAAGUGAGAAGAAACUGAAAGGAAGGGCUUGCAGUAGGAAAUGUCAGGCAGCCAGAAAUGUAAGUGUUGCUGCUUCCUCUGCUGAUGGAUAGCAUGUUGCUGUGAAAGAUGCCCAAACCAGGACUUACAGUGCAUAGCAAAGCAUUGUAUUGCACACUGCUCUGCAGAGCCAUGCUCAACAUGACCGUCUCCUGCCCUCCAGGUACUGAUUUGCUGCAAUAAGAUGUGAAUGUAAAUCCUUCACAGCCUGAUGGUUUGGCAUCACUUUGCACCAAUAUGAAAGCUCCUCGUGGUUCCGGGAGAUGGUGACUAUUUUGCCUCCUGAAACUCGUGUGCUGUAUUGUAAUGACAAAAAACCUGUUGCCCUGAGGCCAGCACAGGCAUCUGCCUAAGGGUGUCCGAAGGCAUAUAAGGGAAAAUGACAUCAAGAUAUUUCUCUUUCACGAUGCCACUUUUGCAAAAGGAAGGUCUGUGCAGAUAUUCUUGUGCUGGUUUAGGAGCUCCUGCAAAUACUUGUUUGAGCAACAGGGAAAUAGAGCAGCUUUAACUGCGAAAGACGUGGCAC